CCUACGGGAGGCAGCAGUGGGGAAUAUUGCACAAUGGGGGGAACCCUGAUGCAGCAACGCCGCGUGGGUGAAGAAGUACUCCGGUAUGUAAAGCCCUGUCAGCAGGGAAGAAAAUGACGGUACCUGACCACGAAGCCCCGGCUAACUACGUGCCAGCAGCCGCGGUAAUACGUAGGGGGCAAGCGUUAUCCGGAUUUAAUGGGUGUAAAGGGAGCGUAGACGGCAAGGCAAGUCUGGAGUGAAAGCUCGUGGCCCAACCACGGGACUGCUUUGGAAACUGUGUUGCUGGAGUGCAGGAGGGGUAAGCGGAAUUCCUAGUGUAGCGGUGAAAUGCGUAGAUAUUAGGAGGAACACCGGUGGCGAAGGCGGCUUACUGGACUGUAACUGACGUUGAGGCUCGAAGGCGUGGGGAGCAAACAGGAUUAGAUACCCCAGUAGUC
rnacentral:rRNA from 1 species